rnacentral:rRNA from 1 species
GACGAACGCUGGCGGCGUGCUUAACACAUGCAAGUCGAACGGAAAGGCCCUGCUUGCCGGGUACUCGAGUGGCGAACGGGUGAGUAACACGUGGGUGAUCUGCCCUGCACUUCGGGAUAAGGCUGGGAAACUGGGUCUAAUACCGGAUAGGAGCCAUUUUUAGUGUGAUGGUUGGAAAGUUUUUUCGGUGUAGGAUGAGCUCGCGGCCUAUCAGCUUGUUGGUGGGGUAAUGGCCUACCAAGGCGGCGACGGGUAGCCGGCCUGAGAGGGUGGACGGCCACAUUGGGACUGAGAUACGGCCCAGACUCCUACGGGAGGCAGCAGUGGGGAAUAUUGCACAAUGGGCGCAAGCCUGAUGCAGCGACGCCGCGUGGGGGAUGACGGCCUUCGGGUUGUAAACUCCUUUCGCUAGGGACGAAGCUUUUUGUGACGGUACCUAGAUAAGAAGCACCGGCUAACUACGU